CCUACGGGGAGCAGCAGUGAGGAAUAUUGGUCAAUGGGCGAGAGUCUGAACCAGCCAAGUAGCGUGAAGGAUGACUGCCCUAUGGGUUGUAAACUUCUUUUAUAUGGGAAUAAAAUGUUCCACGUGUGGGAUUUUGUAUGUACCAUAUGAAUAAGGAUCGGCUAACUCCGUGCCAGCAGCCGCGGUAAUACGGAGGAUCCGAGCGUUAUCCGGAUUUAUUGGGUUUAAAGGGAGCGUAGGUGGAUUGUUAAGUCAGUUGUGAAAGUUUGCGGCUCAACCGUAAAAUUGCAGUUGAAACUGGCAGUCUUGAGUACAGUAGAGGUGGGCGGAAUUCGUGGUGUAGCGGUGAAAUGCUUAGAUAUCACGAAGAACUCCGAUUGCGAAGGCAGUUCACUGGACUGCAACUGACACUGAGGCUCGAAAGUGUGGGUAUCAAACAGGAUUAGAUACCCCUGUAGUC
rnacentral:rRNA from 1 species